UACGUAGGGUGCAAGCGUUAAUCGGAAUUACUGGGCGUAAAGCGCACGUAGGCGGUUCGUUAAGCCAGCUGUGAAAUCCCCGGGCUCAACCUGGGAAUUGCAGUUGGAACUGGCGGGCUAGAGUACAGUAGAGGGGUGUGGAAUUUCAGGUGUAGCGGUGAAAUGCGUAGAUAUCUGAAGGAACAUCAGUGGCGAAGGCGACACCCUGGACUGAUACUGACGCUGAGGUGCGAAAGCGUGGGGAGCAAACAGG
rnacentral:rRNA from 1 species